AUGUUUCUGUUAUAUUGUUUGUACGUGUAGAAUUUAACAUGUAACUCUUGCAAACUUUUUCAAGAGCCCGUGGGAACGCACGGGCACUCUACUAGUAUUUUUAAGAGCCUAGUCACUGUUCCUCCUCCCCGACCUCAUUCCAUUCCCCACUUUUCUUCUCCACCCCGAUCUAAACAUGGCGAUCCAAAACUCUCCCUCGUACAUCCAGCAGCGCCAUGUGUGCCUCUUCUUCUUCCUCCCAAUCCUUGACCCCGGUGCUACAGGAGCAGGCACCGCGACCUCUUAUCAGGUGCGUCGCUACUGCAACAAUGGCGUCGUCCAGUGGUGGUCUCCGUGACCAAGAGGAACCCCGGGAAGCACUUCUACAAGUGCGAGCAUCAAUGGAUGAACUGGGAAGUGCGCUUUCUGGAAAUGGGAGGCCGUGCACCUCGAGGUUCUUCGUGCAAAGAGGCCUAGGCUGUCCAUCCUCCCUGGAAUUGAGACCAAUCGCAGUCAAGCAACAUUAAAGUGGAUCCUCGUCGUCGGCAUCCUGAAUCUUGCCGCAGUUCUCCACCUUUGUCUGAAGAACUACUGAAGGGCGGGAGCAGUAGCUGUCAGUACCCAUUCGUAGCGUUAAAUACCAGUUUAAUUAGUAGCUAAUUAACUACCCAGGAAGUAUGAUCGCUGAUGUAAGCUUCUUUUCUACGUUUCACUUGUUCACUGAACCUAUGUUGUCUGUAGUUAGCUGUUAUGUACUACCUUUCGCAAUGUAUUGUCAGUUUUAGGAUCAGCCUCGCCACAAUUAGACGGAUCCUCUUCAUCGGCAUCCUGAGCCUAGGAGGGGUUCUCCAUCUCUGUCUCAAAAACUACUGAUGCACUGUCGUCCACUGCUGAAGCAGCCUUUAAUUAUUAGUUAAUUAAUCAACGAGGAAUGAUCAUGAUCUUAUCCAUUA